UAGGGAAUCUUCGGCAAUGGACGAAAGUCUGACCGAGCAACGCCGCGUGAGUGAAGAAGGUUUUCGGAUCGUAAAACUCUGUUGUUAGAGAAGAACAAGGACGUUAGUAACUGAACGUCCCCUGACGGUACCUAACCAGAAAGCCACGGCUAACUACGUGCCAGCAGCCGCGGUAAUACGUAGGUGGCAAGCGUUGUCCGGAUUUAUUGGGCGUAAAGCGAGCGCAGGCGGUUUCUUAAGUCUGAUGUGAAAGCCCCCGGCUCAACCGGGGAGAGUCAUUGGAGACUGGGAGACUUGAGUGCAGAAGAGGAGAGUGGAAUUCCAUGUGUAGCGGUGAAAUGCGUAGAUAUAUGGAGGAACACCAGUGGCGAAGGCGGCUCUCUGGUCUGUAACUGACGCUGAGGCUUGAAAGCGUGGGGAGCAAACAGG
rnacentral:rRNA from 1 species